rnacentral:rRNA from 1 species
UACGAAGGGGGCUAGCGUUGCUCGGAAUCACUGGGCGUAAAGCGCACGUAGGCGGAUUUCUAAGUCAGGGGUGAAAUCCUGGAGCUCAACUCCAGAACUGCCUUUGAUACUGGGAAUCUCGAGUCCGGGAGAGGUGAGUGGAAUUCCGAGUGUAGAGGUGAAAUUCGUAGAUAUUCGGAGGAACACCAGAAGCGAAGGCGGCUCACUGGCCCGAUACUGACGCUGAGGCGCGAAAGCGUGGGGAGCAAACAGG